rnacentral:rRNA from 1 species
AACGAACUCUGGUAUUGAUUGGUGCUUGCAUCAUGAUUUACAUUUGAGUGAGUGGCGAACUGGUGAGUAACACGUGGGAAACCUGCCCAGAAGCGGGGGAUAACACCUGGAAACAGAUGCUAAUACCGCAUAACAACUUGGACCGCAUGGUCCGAGCUUGAAAGAUGGCUUCGGCUAUCACUUUUGGAUGGUCCCGCGGCGUAUUAGCUAGAUGGUGGGGUAACGGCUCACCAUGGCAAUGAUACGUAGCCGACCUGAGAGGGUAAUCGGCCACAUUGGGACUGAGACACGGCCCAAACUCCUACGGGAGGCAGCAGUAGGGAAUCUUCCACAAUGGACGAAAGUCUGAUGGAGCAACGCCGCGUGAGUGAAGAAGGGUUUCGGCUCGUAAAACUCUGUUGUUAAAGAAGAACAUAUCUGAGAGUAACUGUUCAGGUAUUGACGGUAUUUAACCAGAAAGCCACGGCUAACUACGUGCCAGCAGCCGCGGUAAUACGUAGGUGGCAAGCGUUGUCCGGAUUUAUUGGGCGUAAAGCGAGCGCAGGCGG